rnacentral:misc_RNA from 1 species
GAUGAAGAACGCAGCGAAAUGCGAUAAGUAAUGUGAAUUGCAGAAUUCAGUGAAUCAUCGAAUCUUUGAACGCACAUUGCGCCCGCCAGUAUUCUGGCGGGCAUGCCUGUUCGAGCGUCAUUUCGACCAUCAAGCCCCCGGCUUGUGUUGGGGACCUGCGGCUGCCGCAGGCCCUGAAAAGCAGUGGCGGGCUCGCUGUCACACCGAGCGUAGUAGCAUACAUCUCGCUCUGGGCGUGCUGCGGGUUCCGGCCGUUAAACCACCUUCAUAACCCAAGGUUGACCUCGGAUCAGGUAGGAAGACCCGCUGAACUUAAGCAUAUCAAUAAGCGGAGGA